UCAUGAGUUUGAACCAUUGCCUUGUUGUUACAUGAACCUACCCUGCUCAAAAUUCCCUUGAUUAUUUGUUAUGCUGUUGUUCAUGAUUUGUGUUAUAAUGAUGAUGACAUGAUGUUGAUGAACCAAGUUGCUAACAAUGCUAGUUAAACCAUGCUGUUGUAAUUGCUGACCAAGUGUUGGUGUGGAUGUUGAAAAUACUGAAACCAUGCUGUUACUACCCUGCUAUGUUGCUGCAUAUACCCUGUCCAUGAACCUUAGAACUUGUCCAGGAUUUUGCAUUGAAU
rnacentral:lncRNA from 1 species